CUUGAGAAAAACGUUUACCCUUACUUAUGUGAAGCUUGGGUAAAGUGGUGAAUAAAUAAUUGGAGCUUGAAAUUGUGAAUACUGGAACUUGGAGGAAGUGGAUUAGUUGAGAUUUUGAGGGCUGUGUUCUUUUAAGAAAAUUGUCUUGGAAUAAUACUUGGGAAUCGGCUAAGAUGCAGGUCAAGAAGCAUCUCGUUAGGCGUCUGGACCCUUGAAGCGAAGUGGU